CGCACAUUGCGCCCAUUAGUAUUCUAGUGGGCAUGCCUGUUCGAGCGUCAUUUCGACCAUUAAGCCCUGUAGCUUAGCGUUGGGAGCCCGCCGGCCCAGCCGGCAGCUCCUCAAAGUUAGUGGCGGAGUCAGCGUAUACUCUAGGCGUAGUAAUCUUUAUCUCGCCUCUGUGUUGCGCUGGCGCCUGCCGUAAAACCCCCAACUUUAAAAGGUUUGACCUCGGAUCAGGUAGGAAUACCCGCUGAACUUAA
rnacentral:misc_RNA from 1 species